GUAAAACCAAAGACAGGCAGCCCGGCGCCAGGCCUGAAACCAGGCCUGGGCCUGCCUGGCCUAAACCCAGUAGUUAAAAAUCAACUCAUAACUUAGAAACUGAUGUUAUUCAUAGAUUCCAGACAUUGUAUAGAAGAACAUUGUGAAACUCCCUGUCCUGUUCUGUUUCUCUCUGACCACCGGUACAUGCAGCCCCUGUCAUGUACCGCCUGCUUGCUCAAAUCAAUCACGACCCUUUCAUGUGAAAUCUUUAGUGUUAUGAGCCCUUAAAAGGGACAGAAAUUGUGCAUUCGGGGAGCUUGGAUUUUAAGGCAGUACCUUGCCAAUGCUCCCAGCUGAAUAAAGCCCUUCCUUCUACAACUAGGUGUCUGAGAGGUUUUGUCUGCGACUCGUCCUGCUACAUUUCUUGGUUCCCUGACCAGGAAGCGAGGUGACUGACGGACGGCCGAGGCAGCCCCUUAGGUGGCUUAAGCCUGCCCUGUGGAGCAUCCCUGAGGGGGACUCUGGCCAGCCUGAGUGAUGUGGUCCGAAGAGCGCUUGGGUAGGAAAUUGCCCCUGUGGAAUGCCUCGUCAGAGCAGCGCAUAGCAGGCCCCCACGGAGGAUUAACACAGUGGCUGAACACUGGGAAGGAACUGGCCCUUGGAGUCCAGACAUCUGAAACUUGCUCUCAAGAGUUUGGGGUUUUUGAGGUUUGCCAUGGUACAUCAAUAGAAUAUCAAAUGACAGGAUAAGACCUAGAAGACAAAUGUAAAAUUCCAAAAUGCAUGCUGUGGAUGAAUGUAGCAAUAUGAGAUGAGUACUAUUUGGGAUGCAGAAAGCAAUAUUUAACUGAUCAGCUGCCACUCACAUCAUGAAUCAGAAGCAGCCUUAAAAGAAAGGAUCCCUUCUUGCUAUUUUGAAGACAGGAAUGUGAAUCUCUGCUGCAUUAUGGUGCUUUAGAAAGAAAUAAGAAGGCACUUUUCAGCAACUACCUUAGUAUCUCCCUGGAGAAACCCAAGCUAUGACAGCAGGUACCAGAAUUGGCCCAAGAAAGUAGACCUUCCAAAUGGAUUUUGCAGCUGGAUCACCUGUGGGCAUAUGGGAAAUAACUGAGUCCUUUGGAGCUGAAAAUGAAAAACUGAGUAGCUGGUGGAAGAAGCGAGAUGGGUUUGGAACUCACAGGCUAUGUUUCUGGAUGCAUCACAUUUGCAAGAGGGAAGUUUUGGUGUCCCUGUGGGUAUAUUAGCACUCCUUUACUCCAUUUCUCUGUAGCUACUCAAGCAAGUGACAAGUAAGUAUGUUGAGACCACAUGUGACAUAUAAAUUACAAGUUCUCCUGCCCCUCUAAAAGUUUAUUCAGCAUCAACCUUUGCACCAACACACUAAGGCAUAAUAGCUGAUAAUUUAUGAGUGUAAUUUGAAGGAAGCAAUUCUGUUUUGUGAUUAUGGUAGUAAAUAAAAGAUUCAAAUCCUCAUUGACACACCAUGAAAUUCAGCUUUACUUUUUUUUUUUUAACCUUGAUAUUGUUUAUGGAAAGAAGGCUGCAGAGUCCAAGAAAGGUGACAGAUAUGAAGAAAUGCAGUGGUUGCAAAGGACAAAGACAAUGGCAACACAAAUAAAAGAAAUUAUGAGAAGGAAAUAAAUAUUAAAAAAAAAACCCAAACGUUUGUUGAUGUAAACUGAAAAUAAAUUUGGAAUGAGCUGUGUGCACUUGGAAAUGAGAAGCUCUGUCCUGCACCAUGAAGGGCUUUGUGUGCAUCCAUGGGUUGCUUCUGCAUGCAGAAUGAGACUGGAACAAAAAAGAACCAUUUAAAACACAGGAUCCAGGGAAUUUUCAGAACCUUGCCAUGUGGGUCUCUCCAUAUGGCUGCUUAAGCAUCCUCAUGACACGUCAGCUGGUCUCCCCAGUGGGAGUGAUCGAAGAGACAGAAGCAAGAAUGUCUUCAAUGACCUACCCUUGUAAGUCACAUACCUCACUUUCACCUAAUCCUCAAAAGGAGAGAGUUAGACUCCACCUUUUGGAGGCAAGAAUGUCAAAGAAUUUGUGGACAUAUUUCAAAACCAUCACUGGAUCAUAUAUGUGAAAAUAAACACUUACAAAAAAUAAAGUGCUAUAAAUGGGAUACAUUCAGAUAAGGAACCCUUCUUUCAAUGCCAUCCCAGAAUUCCCUCAGCUUAAUUCUCCCAGAAGCUUCAAGACCUUCUAAAAUUGUUUGGGCUUGGUCUUUAUAGUCUGGAGGCACCAAAAGCCUGAGAUUUGUAUAGAUUAAGGAAGAAUCAGAAUCUAAGAGACAUUAAAUGACUAGCCAAAGAUCACACUGCUAGUUGGUGGAAGUCCGAGGAGUUUGUCCUAAGUGUGCCUAACUUCAAAUCCCCUCAUCUUAAUCAUUGUGUCACAUCAUGUCAUAAAAAUGGAUGAAAGAAGAAAGAAGACACAAACACCCAGUAUUAUUUUAGGACAAUUUCAUGGCAUUAAGUGUGGAUUUUCGUUUUAGCUAACAUUUUCAUGAAGGAAAAUCUUUGAGGAUGUUCUCUCCAUUAAAAAAAGAAGGAAAAAAACUCAAGAUAAUUAUAGAUUUACAUGCAGUUGUAAAAGUUAGUAAUGUAAAGAGAAGGCUUGUACACUUUGCCUAAUUUCCCCAGUGGUAACUUUUUUAGAGCUAUAGUAUGAUAUCACAACCAGGAUAUUGACAUCAGUCAAUCCACUGAUCUUAUUCAGUUUUCCUAAGUUUACUCUUUAAUGUGUGUGUGAAGUUCUACACAAUUUUAUUACUCGUAUAAGUUCGUGUAUCAUCACCCUGGUUAAAAUACUGAGGGGUUCCAGUGCCACAAGGAUCCCUCCUAUUCUUUUUGAGCCACACCCAUUCCCCUUCUUCCCCAAUUUCUCCACCUCCCUUUCUAACUAUCUGCCACUAGUCUGUCCUCCAUUUCUAAAAUUUUGUCAUUUCAAAAAUUUAAUAUAAGUGGAAUUAUGUAGUAUACAACAAUUUGGAGUUUUGUUUUUGCUCAACAUGAUUUCCUAAAGAUUCAUUCAAGUAGUUCUGUAUAUCGAUAGUGUAUUUCUUUUUAUUGCUGAGUAGUAUUACAAUUUUGUUUAACCAUUCAACUCUUUUUUGUUAGUUUCUUUUUGUUUUUGAGAUGGAGUCUGUUGCCCAGGCUGGAAUGCAGCAGCGCGAUCUCUGCUCACAGCAACCUCUGCCUCCUGUGUUCAAGCUAUUCUCCAGCCUCAGCCUCCUGAGUAGCUGAGAUUACAGGCGUGAGCCACAGCGCCCACCCUAGCCAUUCAACUCUGAAGCACAUCUGGGUUGAUACCAGUUUUGGGCUGUUACAAUAAAACUUCUAUGAACAUUCACGCACAAAUUUUUGUGGGAACAUACGUUUUCAUUUCUCUAGGAUAGAUGUACAGGAAUAAAAUUCUGGGUCAUAUGGUAGUUGCAUGUUUAAAUAUUUAAGAAACUGCUAAACUGCUUUCCAGAGUGUCUGUACCAUUUCACAGUCCUAAAAGCGAUGUAUGAAUGAUCCAGUUUCACCAUUUCCUCAUCAGCAUUUGGUGUUGUAAUUCUCAUUUUAAUAAUGCUUAUAGAUGUGUGGUGAUAUCUCAUUAUGGUGUUCAUUUGUAUUUCUCUAAUGACCAAUAAAUAUUUAACAUAUUUCCAUGUGCCUGCUUUUUUGCCAUUUUAUAUCCUCUUUGGUCUAUAAUGCCUUUUGUCCAUUUUCUAAUUAAAUAUUUAUGUAUUGUUGAGUUUUCAGAGUUCUUUAUAUAUUCUAGAUAUUAUUCCUUUGUCAGCUAUGUGGUUUUAAAAUAUUUAUUUCUAUCUUGUAGCUUGUAAUUUCAUUUUCCUCACGUGGACUUUCACAAAGCAAGUGUUUUUAUUUUUGAUAAAAUCAGAUUUGUCAAGUUUUCCUUCUGUGGAUCAUGAUUUUGUUGUCAAGUCCAAUAACUGUCUGCCUAGCUCCAGAUCCCAAAGUUUGCUCCUGUG
rnacentral:lncRNA from 1 species